GAAAGAGAGAGAGAGCCACGAGCAGUUUUUUUUAUUCCCACGCAACUUCCUCUCUUUCCCAUCCCGACCGGCUAGGGUUCCGCCGGCGCCAUCCCUUCUCGUCCAGCGCUGGCCAACAGAGAAGGCGGGCGCGCGGAGGGGAUUCAACCUCGACCACGUCUGCGGCAACGGCGAGGGCCUCCGCUCGCAGGUCUCCGUCUCGCUGCUCGUCCGGGAGGCUGCACGGAGGGGAUUCGCUGUGAGCGAGGUGCCGUGGAUCGGCAAGCGAGCGCUCGGGACGAGGACCUUUUCUUCUUCUCCGGCCUCUUGGCAGUUGGGAUCCUCUGUCUUCUCGCCGUGGCUAGGGUUGCCGCCGUCGCCGCCCUCCCCAUCCUGACUCCUCUAGCGCCGGCCUCGACCCGCUUGGCGAUAAGGCACUGGUACUUCAGCUCCUAUGUCAUCCAUGAUUGACAGUGAUCAGAUGCCAACAAUGCAUGGGAGUGGAUGUCAUCACCCAGUGACGUGUCUCUUUGCCGAUUAUGGUUGGACCCUUUGCUGUUCGCGAAACCCAUAAUUCAUCCCAUAGUUCUUCCUCAACAUUGGUUGGGGGCGGGAUGGACCUACACAUCCGUCAAGCAUCAGGCAAACCUCCUGGGCGAGGCUUCCUUGUACAACAGAAAGCACAUCUGUGUGCCCUCCAGAUUCUCUUGUAGCACCUCCUGCUGCUUGCCCUUGCACGGUAGCAAGCCUAGCAGGUAGCAUCAACACAGGAAGGUGAGGUUGCCAGCGGCCGGUGGGUGGCUGCUCCAGCAAGAAACUAGCAGAGCCUAUCAUGUGGCAACAUGACUUAAGGUGGAGGCACACUGUAUUUUUUACUAUUACAUGAAAUUCCACUAACACCUGCAUCUGUUCUCUGUUCUUUGUUAUUUUUGUUUGUAAUCCUUCUGGUUCUGCUAAUUAGCCCCUUCAUGUUUUUCUUCAACUAUGGUUGUUCUUGUCAGGGUAUAUGGCUUUGCUUGAGAAGCCCACACAGAGCCAACAGUCGAGGUAAUUCUUUCUUUGCUUUUUCCAAAGGCAUCUAAAAGAUUUUCUUAAAGGCUUCUGUCUUGGUCCUCUCAGUCUGGGAUAUUCAAAGCACUUGAAAGAGCAAACUACUCGAUAGAAGUAGGAAAGAUUAAUGAUAUUCUGGGUGUGGAAGAACCAACAAUGGAGUUUCUGCUACUGGACAGGUAACUGCAUAUGCGUAGGUGCCUCAUUGUUGGACUGCCAGCUCACACAUGAUAAUUAUGCUUACAAUACUAAUAGUACUGGCUCGUAUAUGUUCUAGAUUUAUUGUUGUCUCUUAUUUUUAUUUUUAAGUACCAGUUUCAAGUCUCUAUACAGAAAUCAUGUCUUUUGAAUUGGUAUUGCUACUAUUUAUCGAAUGUCAUGUGCAGAAGUACAUGACCACCUAUGUGAUAAGAUCGUUGUAAUGUCACAAUUAUGUACUCCGCCAUGCAACCACAUCUUUAUUGAAAUAUAUUGCCAAAAAAAUAUGAAAAAAAUCAUAGGAUGUUAGGAGGCCAAAGGAGCACUAUAGCAAGAGGAUAGGGACAGAGGGAGUCCCUAGCCCCUAGGUACCCUCCAGCCCAGGGCGCCUAGGAGGCGUGCUUGCGCACCCUCUGACCUCUAUCAUAUCUAUCACCAUUUUUCCUCCGCCGCACAUCCGUAUGUAGUCCAUAUUGGAAUCUCUAAAAGGUCUUGUAUUUAGGAAUGGAGGGAGCAGUUGACAUCUUGAAAUUAGGACAAUUUUUUUGAGAAACAAGUAAGAUAUCUUUUAGCUCGGGCCUUAAGCUAAUCAAAGAAAAGAUCUACGACUAUUGCAUCCUUUGGAUUGUUAGGCCUCUAUAUAAAGGGGAUCCUCUAUGAGGAACAACUAAGCAGAGCAUAAGCCAAUAUUAUUCAUGGUCUCCUUGUAUGCAGCAGGCUUAGUUUAUCUUGUACUCCCUCCGUCCCAAAAUUCUUGUCUUAGAUUUGUCUAGAUACGGAUGUAUCUAACACUAAAACGUAACUAGAUACAUCCGUAUUUAGACAAAUCUAAGACAAGAAUUUUGGGAUGGAGGGAGUAUUUGUCCAGGUAAAAACAGCUGCACGUUCGACCUGAAGCUUCUCAAUUCUUUCCAGAUGCAUUAGAUAAUUGUACUGCCAUGUGUUUUUGGCUCCCAUGUAUCCUCCAAUUCAUCAGGUAUGCCUUCUUGCUGAACUAAUUAAUCACAUUUAACUAUAGCAUCUCAGUUGCAUCAUACUAGCUUUAUUCUAUGAUUUUGGCUUUCUAUGUGUAUGCCGAAAUAUGUGAUCAGAUAAGAAUAUCCAGUUGCAAAAGAAUAUGAAAUUGCCAAUUUACUUUCAAGGGUAGGCGGAGCUAAAAUAGUUUUGGUUGGCGACGUUUUUCUGUGAAUCCCUUUCACCCUAAUAGGUGACAUCCCUUCCUUUUUGUUAUCCACCCCAUGCAUCAGGCCUACCUCUGACUAGCUCCCUGCAAACAUUUUGGGCAUUUGAUAGCAAACUGGCGAAGUGGUUUUGUAUAACUAUAAUAAAUGGGGUUGAACUGGUUUUGAUAUUGUUUCUGGUACUAACCAGUAGGCUGUUACAAUUUUGUCCUUGUUCCCUCAUUUAAAGACUCAUUUUUGUCUUAUUUAGCAAGCAUCCUCUGGAAGUCGGCCAUGGUUUUGGUUCCCUACUCCUGACAGUAGUUGGGGUAGUGGCGGUUCGAAGGAUGAACUUCCAUGGAAGAUCGAAGCUUUAGUCCUUGACUCAGCUCGUGCACACCCUGGGGCUCUACGGUCAUUCGAAGUCCAUCAUGAUGAUUGCACACUUUUUACUGGGGGAGUUGGACAUGGUUUUAAAGGGUGUAUACAUCAUUGGGAGUUGUCCAACGUGUCAGUUUGUCUCACUACCUGCACAUGACUUUCUUUUUUGCAAUUAUUGUUGGAUGGUUUUUGAAUUAAAUGUAGUUUGUACAGAUCUUGUACUGGUGUUUGGCUUAGUGUAUGAAAUACUAAUAUAGGAUUAAUGGUUUAUGAAUUAUUAUAUGAUAGAUAGUGAUGGUAAAUUAUUUGAAGAUUGUUCUGUGUAGAUCAGAGUUAAACAUGUUUAUAACGAAGCCUUUUCUUGGAAUGAAAUUAAAUUUAUGACUUCAAAAGUACACCUCUAUAUCAAAAUAUAAGAUGUUUUUGCAGUUCAAAUUGAACUAAAAAAACGUCUUACAUUUUGGCAUAGAGGUAGUAAGAAUUUAGCAUUUGCUUGAUUGUCUAAUUUGAGAGCCUUCAUGUUCUCGGAUGUCUUUGUUUUCAACUCUUUGUUGAUGUCACCAUGAAGCUUGAAUAUUUUCCAUUCCUUGAUAAAUACAUUGCUCUACAGAAUUGGUUGAUUAAAGAAUUAACUCUUCUUCAUAGUAGUAUUUUCCUCAAAUUAUGAAACCUCCAACAACGUAGAGAGAUAACCAUUUUGUUAGUUUUUCAAUCAAAGCUUCCAUCAAAUAAUUUAUUACAAUUGUCCUCCAGCUUAUUCAGAAACUGCAUGAUUUGAAUGACGGAUCAGAUGAGGCCGCUGGCCAUGGCGCAUAGGCCUGCUUACGGCGGGACAUGAAUUAGCUGAUGGCGACGCGUGCAGGCAGAGCUCGCCACCUUGAACCCAACACGAGGCGAAGCUGGAAACCGGCAUCACAGGCGCGCACGCGUCCAUGCCACGCUCCCCGAUGGCGGGUGGCACACCAAGCCGUCGUCUCCGUCCACCAUGAAGUGCCCCACCCUGUUAAGUAAAGGUGGAGAAUCCUCUUUGAAGUGUAUGGUGUUCCCUAUGUAGAAUUUUUGUUGAGCAAACAAUGUUGAGUGACUUUUUGAAUCAAGUAUGAUCUGGAUUGCACAGGAUACCGCCUGCUCUUUGUUGAAUGACUUUUUGAAUGAAGUGUGAUCUGGAUUGCAUGUAGUUCUUUAAUCAGAUCUUACACUUGAUGUGUUGUUCAUAACCGGGUUGUUCAUAGCCUGUUCACAAA